GCUAGGUCAGGCGGCUGGAGGCGGUCGGCUCCUGUUCGCGGAGCUGGGUGAAGUCGACAUUCGGCUUCGGGUCGUACGACAUCACCGCCUGGUUCC
rnacentral:tRNA from 1 species